rnacentral:rRNA from 1 species
UACGUAGGGUGCAAGCGUUGUCCGGAAUUAUUGGGCGUAAAGAGCUCGUAGGCGGUUCGUCGCGUCGGCUGUGAAAUCCCGAGGCUCAACCUCGGGUCUGCAGUCGAUACGGGCGGACUGGAGUUCGGCAGGGGAGACUGGAAUUCCUGGUGUAGCGGUGAAAUGCGCAGAUAUCAGGAGGAACACCGAUGGCGAAGGCAGGGUCUCUGGGCCGAUACUGACGCUGAGGAGCGAAAGCGUGGGGAGCGAACAGG